UGUCGCAAUGGAUGCAGCUCGGACCGGCCCGGUCGGGGCUGUCGCUCGCGAUCGAUCGGAUGCCCGACAAAGAGCAGAAGAUCGUGUUCGUGCGAAUGCGUGAGUUCGAGCAGAACAUGACCGUGACGCUCGA
rnacentral:misc_RNA from 1 species